rnacentral:rRNA from 1 species
ACGCUGGCGGCAGGCCUAACACAUGCAAGUCGAGCGGCAGCACGGGUACUUGUACCUGGUGGCGAGCGGCGGACGGGUGAGUAAUGCCUAGGAAUCUGCCUGGUAGUGGGGGAUAACGUUCGGAAACGGACGCUAAUACCGCAUACGUCCUACGGGAGAAAGUGGGGGAUCUUCGGACCUCACGCUAUCAGAUGAGCCUAGGUCGGAUUAGCUAGUUGGUGAGGUAAUGGCUCACCAAGGCGACGAUCCGUAACUGGUCUGAGAGGAUGAUCAGUCACACUGGAACUGAGACACGGUCCAGACUCCUACGGGAGGCAGCAGUGGGGAAUAUUGGACAAUGGGCGAAAGCCUGAUCCAGCCAUGCCGCGUGUGUGAAGAAGGUCUUCGGAUUGUAAAGCACUUUAAGUUGGGAGGAAGGGCAGUAAAUUAAUACUUUGCUGUUUUGACGUUACCGACAGGAUAAGCACCGGCUAACUCUGUGCCAGCAGCCGCGGUAAUACAGAGGGUGCAAGCGUUAAUCGGAAUUACUGGGCGUAAAGCGCGCGUAGGUGGUUUGUUAAGUUGAAUGUGAAAUCCCCGGGCUCAACCUGGGAACUGCAUCCAAAACUGGCAAGCUAGAGUAUGGUAGAGGGUGGUGGAAUUUCCUGUGUAGCGGUGAAAUGCGUAGAUAUAGGAAGGAACACCAGUGGCGAAGGCGACCACCUGGACUGAUACUGACACUGAGGUGCGAAAGCGUGGGGAGCAAAC